rnacentral:rRNA from 1 species
CACGUAGGGUGCGAGCGUUGUCCGGAAUUACUGGGCGUAAAGAGCUCGUAGGUGGUUUGUCGCGUUGUUCGUGAAAACUCACAGCUUAACUGUGGGCGUGCGGGCGAUACGGGCAGACUGGAGUACUGCAGGGGAGACUGGAAUUCCUGGUGUAGCGGUGGAAUGCGCAGAUAUCAGGAGGAACACCGGUGGCGAAGGCGGGUCUCUGGGCCGAUACUGACGCUGAGGAGCGAAAGCGUGGGGAGCGAACAGG